AUGAGGGAGGGAAUUUGCUGCCCACUGUGAGCUUAAACCUGCAGCUUGUCCUUCUGGCUGCGUUUGGACAAAUUCAGACAAAAAGUUUAUGUCAGGAGAAGAUGGAUCAGAAAAGAGCAAUGGGAUUUUACCCAGGCUGUGGCUUUCAAAAUCAGAGUCCUUCUUGUUUGUUGGUGGGAAUGCUUAGCAGCCUGCUACGAUAUGGCCACAGAGCUGUGCAAGGGGUGAGAUAUCUAAGAGGUCAGCAAAUCUGGUCAAGUAAUGGAAGUUACCGUCUGCCUAGCAAAAGCUCAUCCCUGGCCAUGGGACUUCAGACCAUUCCUCUGUUUUGAGCAAGGUUUUCACUUAGGCAAGACGAUAAAUUGCUGUGCCCUGGUGGAGAUUAAAAGCAGGUAAACAGACAGCAUGGCCUUAACCUAUUUCUCACACAUUUCACACAGGUGAACUCAACUCAGUUUCCAAAGUUUACCUACCUGUCAAUGAUAAGCUUACAUGAGUUUCCUGUUUUAACCACCAGCCUCUGGAUACCUUGUGUUACAGCAUUAUGCUUCUCUACUCCAGAUUGAUGAGUCCAUUCCAUGAGCAUGCUUCUGACCAAAGCUGGACCAGCUGAGGAAGAACAGGCCUAGCACAGCAGCUCAAUCUUAUUGCCCAACCUUUUAGGACGACUGAAUGACAUGAACACAUUCAUUUGUACAUCAGAAGAUGGUGGCACAUACUUCUAACUUGUGUUAAUGUGACUAGGACUAAAAUAAGCAAGGCCACUUCUACGGAGAAAUAUGUUGGCAACUGACAAGAUAUUAUUACAUUUAGUUUUCAUAAUGAAAGCAGCCCACUUUGUUAAGUCUCCAG